CGUGUAGGCGGCUGAAUAAGUCAGAUGUGAAAUCCCCGGGCUUAACCCUGGAAGUGCAUUUGAAACUAUUCAGCUUGAGUAAGGGAGAGGAAAGUGGAAUUCCUGGUGUAGAGGUGAAAUUCGUAGAUAUCAGGAGGAACACCGGUGGCGAAGGCGACUUUCUGGCCCUAUACUGACGCUGAGACGCGAGAGCGUGGGUAGCAAACAG
rnacentral:rRNA from 1 species